rnacentral:rRNA from 1 species
UAAGUAACCUGCCCUCAUGAGGGGGAUAACUAUUAGAAAUGAUAGCUAAGACCGCAUAGGUGAAGGGGUCGCAUGACCGCUUCAUUAAAUAUCCGUAUGGAUAGCAGGAGGAUGGACUUAUGGCGCAUUAGCUGGUUGGUGAGGUAACGGCUCACCAAGGCGACGAUGCGUAGCCGACCUGAGAGGGUGGACGGCCACACUGGGACUGAGAUACGGCCCAGACUCCUACGGGAGGCAGCAUG